AAACUUAGUCUUGUCAACAUUUUGGAAAUUGUUUUUGUGUUCAUUGAGAUAUUGUUUAAAAUGUUACUUUUCAAAGGGGUGUACUAAUUCACGCUGAGCACUGUAUAUAAAAAUAAUUUAAAAUUAGGGGAUUUUAUGAUAUUCUUUAUGCCAUGGAAAAUUUUGAUGCUAACCUCAAUUGUUUUAAUACACACCAAAGAUACAAUAUUUCGCUUUUUAUGACAAAUAUUGUCAUUUUAAUGUGUAAAUCAUCUCUACUGAAGGGUUAAAAUAAUUUUUGCAAACAACAGUCUGAUUAAUAAUUAAAAUAAAUCAUUGCUGCGUUAAUGACUGUUUGUGUCGGUAAGGACACAAUGUUAAUGACGCAUGUUAAUAAUGUAACCUUAACAAUAGGUUACUGUUGUGAAAAACAGUAAAAAACAAAAACAGAAGGUAUUUUGCCAAAGAGGUAUUGAAGGAAAGACUGGGUUAAAAACUAAUACUUUUAUGAACUUAUAUUAUAACAACAAACUAAUUUUUAACUAAGCCUUCAGUAUUUUGUUUUGUCCUCAGGUUUGUUUUGUUUAUCCUCCACUGUCUUCUGUUUUUGAUUUGUCAGUUUAUCUGCUCUUUUUUUUUUCUUUUUCUUUUUUUAAUGCUCUUUUUCCAUAAUUAUUCAUAUCUGUCAGGGUCUUUUCUCAUUAAGUCUCUGCAUUUCUGUCAUCUUAUUAGAUGAAUUUGGUAUCAUUUAGGGUUGCAAAAAUGGCAUGUUUAUAUUUAGAUUACAGUAUAAUGAUUUAGAUUAUAGUACAACAUUUUAUUUAUAUAUAUAUAUAUAUAUAUAUAUAUAUAUAUAAUUUUAUAGUAUAAAAAUUUGUCUCUACCGCAACGCAAAGUCUUUACCACAACACCUAAAAAUGCUGCGGUAAAGACGUUGCGGAAAUGACAUUUUUGCUAACAUUGCUGAUAACUGGCAGUAGGCAAGGUCUGAUACAUCAGUUUUGACUUUUAGCACCACAUAUACAUGUAUUCAACAGUAAUAUAAAUUUAUUUUUUAAAAUGUAGUUCAAAAUACACAAUUACUAAGCUGAAUGGUAAGGACACAUAAUAAAUACUUAUGAAGAGAAGAUGAUCUUUAUCUUAGUUUUCUGGAUCUUGAGAGUGACCUAAUGGGGUUGGCCCAAUUUGUAAGCUCACAUGCUAAUUUCUGUUUCCAUAGAAACUAGAUUUGUUUGGCUUUGAACAAAUGUCAUAUUAAGAGUCUUUUUUUAGUGUUGCAAUAAGGACUCAAAAGUGCGGGACAGGUGUAUUUAGAUUGAAAAAAAAUCAUACAAAUGAUGAGUAAACAAAAAAAGAACUUUAAGAUGGUGUAAAGUAACAUUUAUAUGAAACUAAUUAAUUUGAAAUAAUGUCAAAUUGUAAAAGAAUUAGCUAAAGAAUUAGCUAAUUUUACGCAUCUCAGCAUUGAAACCACAGGUGUGGGACAUGAGAAAAAACUGCAGAACCACCCAUGAAGCAAGAUCAAGUUAAAAGUUUAAAAGAGUGUGUUGAAGACUUUACUUUUGUUAAAAAGCAUUAAAAGUCAUUAAAUGGAUUUUGCGAAAAUUAAGGCCUUAAAUGGCAUUAAAAAGCAUUAAAUUUUAUUCCUACAGGCAUUAAUUUUUUUAGAUAGUUUUGAAGGAAAAUAAUACCAGUUUAUAUUGAAUAUAGCCUUCAUAAUUAAUAACUUUGAUUUGCUGUCGCAAAAUAUGUACAUAAAUGUACAUAUUUUGCGACAAUAUAAUUCGAUUCACCCUUCCAUCUCCAGGUUGGGACCUGGAGAUGGAAGGGUGAAUCAGUGUUGCCAACUUUUCAGACCCCUUUUGAGACUUUUUCCAAGAAAGCGCAUUGUGACGAAUAUAUAUUGUUAACCUGAUCUAGCUUCCGAGACUCCCCGGUACUGCCGCACGAGCGCGAGGUCUUGCUUUCCUGCCACAGGCGUACCUGUGUCUGCUUUGUUCAGUGAGUGGCUGAGAGGAGCAGCGCAUUCAGUUGAGGAUGUCAGAGAACAAAUCAAAUAGAUACUAUUGCUUCUAACCUGAGUGAUCAUUUUACGUGUACAUAUAGCCAAAAUCACAGCAAAUGUCUUUAUAUUAUGUGUAUGGUGAUUUUGUCAGACAACGUCUCGAUUAUAAAUCAGGAUUUUAGCGCUGGUUUAACAUGUCAGGGCUCGACACUAACGCUUGUCAAUUAGUCCAGGAAAAGUGUAUUUUUUGAAGGGGCAAGUGAAAGAGAAUUCUACAAAGACCUGAUUAAAAGGUCAAUACCAAAAAAAAAAAAAAAACAACAUGAGAAUCACACAUUUUAUUACAUUUAGUUUAAGUGGCGAUCCAUAGUGGAUAAUAAUAGGCUGUAUAAUGUAGUGACGAUAACAAGGUUGCGCUGUUGAGGCUCGCACACCAUCUCGAGGAGAAAUGGAAACAUGAGCGAAGCACACACAAAAAGAAGUUUUUAUAUCUUGAUACAGGUAAAACAAAAUCACACGACCAAGAAUGCUGUUUUCCUAAAUAGGCUACCGUCACAAUUAAAAACGUGACACUGAUUUCAUACAACAGUUCAAUUAACAAAUAGUUAAUAUUAAGUCACUACAUUUUAGAAGGAACAUUGACUGUUUUUGUUCUAUUUUAGCAGCAAAAAUAGUUUCAAACAAAGAUCACAGCAGAACCAUAAGCGCAACACUCAGCCUUGUUUUCGUUACUGAGUGAUUCAGCAUUUUGAAUUAGUCAAAGAUUAAAUGACCCAUUCAUAAACAACUGCCUCAUUCUUGAACGAAUCAUCCAUUGGAAUGAAUCGCUUAUUAAGACGGUUACUUGAUGCCACCUACUGGUGGUUUAGUUUAAUUUUCUAAUUGUUUAAUCAUUUUCCCCCCAACAUUUCUUACAAUCCCAUAACAUUAUUUAAUGUAGUUGUAAUUGUUUUUAUUGUAAAUUUGUAAAUUAUUUAAUUUGAUUGGUAACAGCCCUAAGUGUCUUAUUCUAAUUAAAUUUAUUGAUCGAAUUUAAGAAUUUAAAUUUUACAUGAAUCGUUCAAGAAUCGUACAAGUGAAUGAAAAGGCUUAAUGUCGAGCCCUGUAUGUAGUCUUAAUGGGCCGUGUUUCAGUCACCAUUUCAUAUUGUCUGACAACCAAAACAGAAAAAUAUAUAGAUGAAACAAUUUUAUUGGGAAUUUGGCUGUAUUAAAAUAUGUGAGCAAAAAGGGUAGCACCAGAGAAGCAAACAAAUGUAAAGGGCUGACACUUGGCAGAAUGCAAAUGCAACGACAUGAUGAAUAUUCUAAUUGCCUUAUGACGUCAUCUAUCGGCAUUUACCGACAUAUGUGUGUAUAUAUAUAUAUAUAUAUAUAUAUAUAUAUAUAUAUAUAUAUAUACCAUUUAAAAUUUUAAAAUUGGCAUUAAAAAGCAUUAAAUUAGAUUUGAUGAAACCUGUAGAAACCCUGUUACUGUUUAAUGUUGUGAAAACACUGCAUUAUGGUUAUUCGAACAGCUGUGAAUAGUCCUAUUUCUAUUGUCACACAUCAUGGUCAGUGUAGACAUAAUUUUAUUUGACACGUACAAAAUAACGAGACUAUAGCUUGAAGUAACGGAAGUAUAGCCUGGGAAAUAUGUUGUACUGUGUCAAAAACAUUUUGUGAAAUUUUGGUGUGACCUAUUACACAAAAUGCACUUUUAUCCCUCACAGGUUAAUUCUGUGAGAAGAUUUUUUCACCACUUCCUGUUUUCCAUCUCUCUCUCUCUCUCUCUCUCUCUCUCUCUCUCAUUCUCUCAUUCAGUCUGUCCAUCCAUCUACACAGCCCUGUUUCAGUGUUCUAAAUGAAUUUGUUCAUUCGGCUCUGCUUACACCACUUAUUAGCUUUCCACUAACAAAAAGUACCAUAGUAUUACCACAGCUCGACAACAUAAAUAUAAUAUGCAGAUAAAUGUAUAGUCACUAUCAUUUUAAUCACAAUAUUAUGUAGACUUACUCAAGUAUGGUUUCCCUAAACAAAAUUUUAAAAAUUACAUUAAUAAUGAUUUUAUGGUGUGUUUAUCAUUCUUUAGCUGUAAAUCUCAAAAGACAAAACAAAAGGCAAACAAGAUAAAAAUGAAUUGAUUGAAUUAUGACAAUUCAUUUCAAUAUUUUAAGUUUAGGCUUGGGUAAAGUGACAGAAUCCUUGAAAAGAGUUUAUUCCUUUGAAAUUUGGUACAUUUGUUAAACAAAAGUGAUGCAGUUGAACAUAUUUAAUGUCAAUGGCAUUAAAUAAAAUAUAAAUAAACCUAUUAAACCCAUUAAUUCAAUGUCCUAUAAACCUAAAAAGAUCUGUAAACAUUUGCAUGUUGCAAGUUCCUUCACAAGUCAUUAGGUUGCUCUCCAAAACCUUCACCCUCUCUGCUCCUCUCUGGUGGAAUGAGUUGCCAACCUACAUCUGAUCUACUGAGAUCAUCACAACUUUCAAAAAGCAGAUCCAUUCUAGACCCACCUGGGCUGAUGUCUAACUAUCUCAGAAGUGAUCUGUGAGAUCACGGAGAUCAUUAGGGUCAUUCCUCAUAUAUUUAUCCUGGCACUGGCUCUCACUCAGGGCACCAGAUAUUUCAUGCAUGGAUUGCUUCUGACAGCACUUCAAGAGCUAGCGACGCUGUGUGCAGGACACCCUUAGCAUCUCAGCCAGAAUGGUCUAAAAUGAACGCUCAUCAUGCGGCAAAU